AAAUGAAUAGACGGGACCCCGCACAAGCAGAGGAGCAUGUGGUUUAAUUCGAAGCAACGCGAAAAACCUUACCUAGGCUUGACAUUCUGUGACAGCCCGUGAAAGCGGGUUUUCUUCGGACACAGGGACAGGUGGUGCAUGGUUGUCGUCAGCUCGUGUCGUGAGAUGUUCGGUUAAGUCCGGCAACGAGCGCAACCCCUAUCUUCAGUUACCAGUAUUUAGUUAGGGACUCUGGAGAGACUGCCGUUGAUUUUAAAACGGAGGAAGGUGGGGAUGACGUCAAAUCAUCAUGCCCCUUACGCCUAGGGCUACACACGUGCUACAAUGGCUACUACAAAGAGCUGCAAGACCGUAAGGUGGAGCCAAUCUCAUAAAAGUAGUCUCAGUUCGGAUUGUGGGCUGCAACCCGCCCACAUGAAGUCGGAUUUGCUAGUAAUCCCGGAUCAGCAUGCCGGGGUGAAUGCGUUCCCGGGGUUUGUACACACCGCCCGU
rnacentral:rRNA from 1 species